UCUGGGUUGCAUGGCCGCAUGCCGUGGUAAGUCUGUUGCAUCUCCAUAUGGUGUGGAGACUGCCUGGCGUCGUGGUUGUGUGAUCUUUCUGCCGUAUCUGUUUAUUCAGGUGCUGGUUGAUUUUCAGCUGGCAUGCUCUUGGAUGCCUUUAACCGGGUGUUCGGAGCAGACGGCACGUUUACUUUGAACAAAUUUGAGUGCUCAAAGCAGGCCGUAGUGCCUGAAAAGUCUUGCAUGGAAUAAUGGAAUAGGACUUCGGUUCUAUUUUGUUGGUUUUCGGAUCCGAAGUAAU
rnacentral:rRNA from 1 species